AGAAAGUGGGAACACGGGAGGGCACAGCUUUCCCUAUUCUGAGUGCCUGGAUCUCCAGCAGCCGCGGGAGCGUGACAGGUGUGGGGAACCACGACAGCAGCAGGAUGGGGGCCCAUGCCUUCUCUACCUCGUGCCCUAGGCUUCCUCAGUGGAGGGGGUUAGUCUCAGCAGGGAGGCUGAAUUUUCCUAAGAGUACGAAUCAAGCGGCUCCUCUACCUGUAAAACGGGGAAUUCGCCUGGUGUGCAUUGGGAUCUAAAGGGAUCUCUGGGAUGUUGUGGCUGGAGAGAGACACAUGUAGAUGGUGUUGGACACUGGAUUUGUCCAUCAGAGCUCAAGGAGUCAGAAGUCACUGUGGAAGGACCAUGGGGGAUAAUUUAAGGAGCUCCAAGACCCCAUCUCACGGCCGGUGACAAGGAGCAACUCCCAGGGGGAAGCGAGGGGGCGGCGGAUUCCAGCGAACGUCGAGCGGGA